UACGUAGGGCGCAAGCGUUUGUCCGGAAUUAUUGGGCGUAAAGAGCUCGUAGGCGGUUUGUCGCGUCUGUCGUGAAAGCCCACGGCUUAACCGUGGGUCUGCGGUGGAUACGGGCAGACUAGAGGCAGGUAGGGGAGAAUGGAAUUCCCGGUGUAGCGGUGAAAUGCGCAGAUAUCGGGAGGAACACCGGUGGCGAAGGCGGUUCUCUGGGCCUGUACUGACGCUGAGGAGCGAAAGCGUGGGGAGCGAACAGG
rnacentral:rRNA from 1 species